rnacentral:lncRNA from 1 species
AUCUUCUCAUCCCACAAGAGGCAGGAAACUGCUAGAGGAAGCUGCCUUGGAGAGGAUUCUUUCCUCCCCUCCCGAAAGGAGCUGAACUCAAAAUCUCUCCAUUUCACAAUAGACAUUGGAGAACAUUUUCAACAGUGGAUUUGCACCGGUGUUUUGUGUCCUAGAAAAACGUUCCCUUCAGGUAGGUUCUAAUAAGCCCCACUGGGACAUUUUGGACACCCUUGUCUGCUCUCUGCCUCUCUAACCUUAGAGGGUCCCUUGGAAUCAACUAAUAUUUCAGGUCCUUUCUUCCCAUUACUGUUGCCACACAAGGAACCCAGAUUACAUCAGGGAGAGGCUGAGCUCCAGAGGUUCACACCAGGAGCUUAUUCAUUGUCACACUGUUCCUGCUUCCUGACAGGUUCACUUGAACCAUCUGGAGAUUGGGGAACAAGGGCAAUGAGUUGAACAUGUAGGAAGUUUCAUGGCCCAGCCCCUCCUGAGAGCCCUGAACUGCCAACCAGACUGAGCCCAUCAGAGAAUAACACCUCAUUUUCUGAGGAUUCUGAUACCUUUUCAAUCAGAAACAGAAGCAAAGAUUCUGCAGCUCCCACAGAAACUCCCAGAAACCUUGCGGUGCUUCACCCUUCUGAGAUCCUUGAGUCCGAAUGUGGGAGCUAACCAGGUUGCCUUUCUUUACUUACCAUGAAUUCCUCCUAGACUCGUGGUGGCACCUAGGCUUUGGUUCACUCUCACUCUGUUACUAACACUUUUUAUUAAGUAAUGGGAAGGGAAGUAAAUCAUUUAUUUUAUGGCUAAACAUAUAUGCUCAUUAUUCAUAUUAUAUAUCAAUGGUUCCAGGGGAAAAAUAGAUGCACAUUUGAUGUGCAAAUUAUGUAAAAGUGUUUAGGACUUGGCUAUAUAUGUUUCUUUGGUGGAGAAAUAUCUAUGUGAUAGAGAUUUCUUUGGGAAAGAUGACACUCACAAAAAAAGCCAGAAAUUUCUGUUUUAUAGAUUUUGAUAAAAUGUAUGAAAUAAUUUUCGCAGCCAAAGGAAAGUAUAGCACAGUAUAUUAUGGAGAGAUGUUACAGCUCAGGAAAAUUAAUACAUGUCAGCUGUUUAAUAAAUUAUGCAUUUAAUUAUUGCCAGUACAGUCACAAUACAUGCUAAUCUAUGAGAAUAUAUUUAUUGCAAUAGAAUAUAAACCCAAAUGGAUGCUAAAUCUAUGUCUUAUCUUUCAUUAAGCAUGGCACUAAAGAGGGCAUAAGGCACCUGCAAUGUACUAGAUAAAUAUGUAUAAAUAUUAGAUUUUCCAUAGACUGGAGGAUAAGUUUUUGUGGUGCACAUGGAAAGAGUACAGAAAAAGAACUCAGGUGGUAGGUGGUGGUGUAACAAAGUAGGAAAACGAUGUAAUAAUUAAUAAUACUUUAAAUUUUCUUUUUAUAGGAUUUUUGUUUAAUGUGUACCUUUUUAUUUAUUUCUGCUUUUCCUCCCGAGGCACAUCUUCACAAUGAAAUCUUCACAAGCUCAGAACCAUCAACUUGCUACACUGUGUUCCUCCAGUGCCCAGUUCACAGGAAGCACUCAAGAGUAGGAUCAAUUGUUAUCAACCUCUAGCAGAUUAUUGAAUAGACGGUCGUUACAUGAAACUGACACUCAGUUCUUCAUGGUCCACGAUAGUUCUUAUAUCCAGAAAACGUACUUACGUUAUCAACUCUGACUCCAUAAGACAACUUUGCAAAGUCUUGGCUCAUAACUAUGUAAGCAAUGAGAUAACUUAGUUUUCAUUUCUCACUUGUUACUUACAAGUAAACAGCCCUGCAGCUCAGCUGAGCUACAGAUUAACUACAGGUAAUCACUUCAGCGAUUCUGCUUUACCCAUGCCCAAGAUUUUAAAAAAGAACCUGACAGAUCAUUAAAUUUUGAGAUUUGCUUUUUAAAAUGCAGGUUCCAUAAAGUUACGCUGUUUUGCUUAUAUAUACAGCAACAAAUGCCUUCUUAGAUAUUUACUUUAAAAUUCUAGUUUCCUUACCAUGUAUUAGCCAGAUAAUCUGUCAUUUUUUAAAUUCUGAAAUUGUACAUAUAUAAAUUAAUGUACAUCUCUAUGCCUGAAAGGUACAUUUGGAAUUACAACGUGUGUCAAGGUAGAGCAAAAUCCCCCAGUCCACUCCUUCCAACCCCCUAGAAAUUUACUCUGUUUGGUUUCCUCUUGAUUGUCUUUAAUUAACAAUAAGUAUGUCACAUAGGUAUCAAAUAAAAUAAGAAAAAAAAUAGAUAAAAGAGAAGUGAUUCAAAAUUCAAGUGUUUAAACACUUUAUGAAUCUUCCCGUUGUUCUUGACACAUUUUUAAAAUUUCAUUUUAAUUCAGAUCAUUAGGGAUGAAAUUCUCCUGAAUUGUAGCAUUUUAUUUCCUUUGGGAAGAAGGGGCUGAAUUUGGCAUAAUUAUACUUGACUAUACUGUAAAAGAAACCAGAUCUAAUAUAAGGACAUCAAUACUUAGUUAUUAAUUCAUUUGCUUAUAUUUAUAUGUCAUUUGAAAAUGUGUAUUAACAUACACAAUUAAAGGGAUAUAAAAAUGAACAUGCC